rnacentral:misc_RNA from 1 species
CAUUGAUUUCAAAAGCUCCAUAUUUACCAUCAGGCAAGACCCAAGCAUUUGUUUGUCCAUACAUCGUCUCAGGUCUCAACGUAGCUGCAGCUAGAAACACUUUUUUCCCUUCUAAAGGCCCCAGUUUGGCAGGUAAAGGUGGUAACACCUCCAUCUUGAUAAGGGUAUAUUCUUGGGGCUGCACUCCUUCACCACUUGCCCUGUCAUGAUCUGCACAUGGCUGGCCAUCCAAGGGAGAGUAAAUUGUGUAACGC